rnacentral:rRNA from 1 species
GAUGAACGCUGGCGGCGUGCCUAAUACAUGCAAGUCGAGCGAACAGACGAGGAGCUUGCUCCUCUGACGUUAGCGGCGGACGGGUGAGUAACACGUGGAUAACCUACCUAUAAGACUGGGAUAACUUCGGGAAACCGGAGCUAAUACCGGAUAAUAUAUUGAACCGCAUGGUUCAAUAGUGAAAGACGGUUUUGCUGUCACUUAUAGAUGGAUCCGCGCCGCAUUAGCUAGUUGGUAAGGUAACGGCUUACCAAGACGACGAUGCGUAGCCGACCUGAGAGGGUGAUCGGCCACACUGGAACUGAGACACGGUCCAGACUCCUACGGGAGGCAGCAGUAGGGAAUCUUCCGCAAUGGGCGAAAGCCUGACGGAGCAACGCCGCGUGAGUGAUGAAGGUCUUCGGAUCAUAAAACUCUGUUAUUAGGGAAGAACAAAUGUGUAAGUAACUAUGCACGUCUUGACGGUACCUAAUCAGAAAGCCACGGCUAACUACGUG